GUAUAAUUGAACAAUAAAAUGUUAAAAUAUUGUCAUUAUAUUUUAUGAUAAUCAAGGUUCAUAACUUAUAUCUCUAAAAAUAGCUGUUAUAGGUACAAUAAUAUGGUCAUAAAAACAUUCAUCUAAACACUUAAAUAUGCACUAACAAUGCUAAAAUAUCAUAAACACAUAAUGUCUCACAAAAUAGAAAAAAAAGUACAAGUUAUGAGUCCAAAAGAUAACAUAUAAUCAGGGAUUUAAUAAACCUAAUUUGUUGAAAAUUCUAGCUGA